rnacentral:rRNA from 1 species
AUUGAACGCUGGCAGCAGGCUUAACACAUGCAAGUCGAGCGGAGAGAGGUAGCUUGCUACUGAUCUUAGCGGCGGACGGGUGAGUAAUGCUUAGGAAUCUGCCUAUUAGUGGGGGACAACAUUUCGAAAGGAAUGCUAAUACCGCAUACGUCCUACGGGAGAAAGCAGGGGAUCUUCGGACCUUGCGCUAAUAGAUGAGCCUAAGUCGGAUUAGCUAGUUGGUGGGGUAAAGGCCUACCAAGGCGACGAUCUGUAGCGGGUCUGAGAGGAUGAGCCGCCACACUGGGACUGAGACACGGCCCAGACUCCUACGGGAGGUAGCAGUGGGGAAUAUUGGACAAUGGGCGGAAGCCUGAUCCAGCCAUGCCGCGUGUGUGAAGAAGGCCUUAUGGUUGUAAAGCACUUUAAGCGAGGAGGAGGCUACUUUAGUUAAUACCUAGAGAUAGUGGACGUUACUCGCAGAAUAAGCACCGGCUAACUCUGUGCCAGCCGCCGCGGUAAUAC